GUCCCAGUUCGGAUUGUAGUCUGNAACCCGACUACAUGAAGCUGGAAUCGCUAGUAAUCGCGGAUCAGAAUGCCGCGGUGAAUACGUUCCCGGGUCUUGUACACACCGCCCGUCACACCAUGGGAGUCGGAAAUGCCCGAAGUCGGUGACCUAACUGAAAGGAAGGAGCCGCCGAAGGCAGGUCUGGUGACUGGGGUGAAGUCGUAACAAGGUAAC
rnacentral:rRNA from 1 species